rnacentral:rRNA from 1 species
AUGUUUAAACAUGCAAGUCGAACGGAAACGAAAAUAGCUUGCUAUUUGGCGUCGAGUGGCGAACGGGUGAGUAACGCGUAGGAAUCUACCCAGUAGAGGGGGAUAGCCCGAAGAAAUUCGGAUUAAUACCGCAUAAUCUCUACGGAGUAAAGAAGGCCUCUUUACAAUGCUUUUACUAUUGGAUGAGCCUGCGUUAGAUUAGUUAGUUGGUAGGGUAAAAGCCUACCAAGGCGACGAUCUAUAGCUGGUUUUACGAGAAUGAUCAGCCACACUGGAACUGAGACACGGUCCAGACUCCUACGGGAGGCAGCAGUGAAGAAUAUUGGACAAUGGGGGAAACCCUGAUCCAGCAAUGUUGCGUGUGUGAAGAAGGUCCGAGGAUUGUAAAGCACUUUCAGUAAGCAAGAAAAAUGUAAAUCUAAUAGAUUUGCAUGUUGACCACUUAUAGAAGAAGCACCGGCUAACUCCGUGCCAGCAGCCGCGGUAAUACGGAGGGUGCGAGCGUUAAUCGGAAUUACUGGGCGUAAAGGGUAAGUAGGCGGUUUAUAAAGUCACAUGUGAAAGCCCUAGGCUUAACCUAGGA